UACGUAGGGGGGCAAGCGUUGUCCGGAUUUAUUGGGCGUAAAGAGCGUGUAGGCGGCCAGAUAGGUCCGUUGUGAAAACUCGAGGCUCAACCUCGAGACGCCGAUGGAAACCAUUUGGCUAGAGUCCGGAAGAGGAGAGUGGAAUUCCCGGUGUAGCGGUGAAAUGCGCAGAUAUCGGGAGGAACACCAGUGGCGAAGGCGACUACCUGGCCUGUUCUUGACGCUGAGGCGCGAAGCUAGGGAGCAAACGGG
rnacentral:rRNA from 1 species